rnacentral:rRNA from 1 species
UACGGGGGGGGGCAAGCGUUGUUCGGAAUUACUGGGCGUAAAGGGCGCGUAGGCGGCUCGCUAAGUCGGGUGUGAAAACUCUGGGCUCAACCCAGAGCCUGCAUUCGAAACUGACGAGCUAGAGUUCUGGAGGGGAAAGCGGAAUUCCUGGUGUAGCAGUGAAAUGCGUAGAUAUCAGGAGGAACACCGGUGGCGAAGGCGGCUUUCUGGACAGAAACUGACGCUGAGGCGCGAAAGCUAGGGGAGCAAACAGG